rnacentral:rRNA from 1 species
UACGAAGGGGGCUAGCGUUGUUCGGAUUUACUGGGCGUAAAGCGCAUGUAGGCGGGUCGUUAAGUCGGGGGUGAAAGCCCGGAGCUCAACUCCGGAACUGCCUUCGAUACUGGCGACCUAGAGUGAAGGAGAGGCGAGUGGAAUUCCGAGUGUAGAGGUGAAAUUCAUAGAUAUUCGGAGGAACACCAGUGGCGAAGGCGGCUCGCUGGCCUUUUACUGACGCUGAGAUGCGAAAGCGUGGGGAGCAAACAGG